UUUUUUUUUUAUGACUUCACACACACUUUCGCCUGCAUAGAGUCAUUCAUUCGAUCGUCCGGUAAGAGCCGCGGGUAUGUCGAGGGUUGCGAAGGCAAGGAUCUCGUGGAAGAAACUGCUCGUCAUAGCGGCUGUUCCACACCUCAUCUACUUUCCGCUUCGCUACUUCGCGACCAGACGUCAAGAACCGCCGAAGGUUGAUGCCGCCGCCUUUGGAGACUUGGACGCUCAUCCGAUGGUGCGGGGAUAAGCUCGGGGCAUACUGUUCAAGGUCGAUAUACUCAUAGGAGCCAGUCAUAUGCGGCCAUUCUCCGCUGUUGUCACGCUACUUGAAUGUUUGGCCGACGGACAACAACUCAUUGUGUGUUGCGUAGAGAUCCUGUUUAUCGAAACUAUUUACCCUAUAAAAACGAACUUGUUCAUAUUUACGAACAAUGUUGCAAGUUGACCCCGCGUUAUUCCUCCAGUUGCCUUGUUACUGAGUGUGAAAGUUUUGUCGGCCUUUUCACUCGUUUUUUUUUUUUUUUUUCUAUUGACAGCGCUAUAGAAAUGUGCAUGUAGCCAUCUAGGUGCAAUAUACACACGACUGCUCUUGUUUUGAAAUGCUCAGUUUUGAAAUCUCGUCCACAUUAUCCGGCUAUUUUGUGCGUGUGUGUUUAUCUAGAUAAGAAUCAGUUGUAUCCAUUCUCUUCUCGACUUUUGAAGGAUUGAUUUGAAAACACAGAUCAUGUUCAAUGAGGGCACGCCAUUCUGUCUUUGGAGGCCAUGUACACUUUUUGUUUACAUGCAAAUCGCUAAUUCGAGCAAUGUCUUGCUGACAUAAAGACAUGUUUUAACAACUAUUCAUAACCAUCGAGUUAUUCGCAAGUUCAAAGUUGUCUGUGCACACUGCUGAAGAUCUGAAAUUUAACAACCUAAACAGACAUCAACCUUUCAAGUGAGUUAAUAAAAUAGUUUUGCAACAAUUACCAAAUGGAACUGCGGUAAUGAGAAUGGAAUUAACACAGCUCGUCGCAAUGCCUAGGAAGGGGCAGUAGCAUGGACUCAUCUGACGCUCCUUACUUGGUCGUUUUAUGGUCAUUUCAUCAAUUACCUUUAUUCAACUUUAUGGCUUCGUAACUUCAUAAAUUUUCAACAAAUAUUUUUUAAAUAAAUUAAACAAUUCACAAUUAUUGUGCAAAUGCAUUGAAAAAAAAAACAUAAAUGCUUCAAAGUUUAAAAUAAAGAGUGUAGCUAAUGUCACAAGAAUGUCUGUAUCUAGAAAAUAUACUAAUGGAAUCUGCGUAUUACCUGUCAAUCACAAUGUGGCUGAAUGAUCGCAGUGCUAAAGCUCUUACUAGAAAAUUUUUAAGAAAGCAGUGAGUGUAUUACAAUAAACCUAACUUCUGUACCGUUCAGACUCUUUUUGUCAGGUGCUGCUUCGAGAAGCAGCUACAGCUGGUGUUUUACAACUAAACAGUUUUGAGUAAAAUGCCCUGCUCUGGACCAUUACA